rnacentral:rRNA from 1 species
GAUGAACGCUGACAGAAUGCUUAACACAUGCAAGUCUUUGGCGAAGCUGUGCUUGCACAGCCUAGCCAAGGCGGACGGGUGAGUAACGCGUAAGGAACUUGCCCUGCAGUCAGGGAUAACAGACGGAAACGACUGAUAAGACCUGGUAAAGUCAGGCGGACUCAUGUCCAGCCUGAUGAAAAGAGAUGCUGCAGGAGAGCCUUGCGUCCUAUUAGCUUGUUGGUGGGGUAACGGCCCACCAAGGCGAUGAUAGGUAGCCGGCCUGAGAGGGUGGACGGCCACAAGGGGACUGAGAUACGGCCCUUACUCCUACGGGAGGCAGCAGUGGGGAAUAUUGGACAAUGGGGGCAAACCUGAUCCAGCAAUUCUGUGUGCACGAUGAAGGUUUUCGGAUUGUAAAGUGCUUUCAGCAGGGAAGAAAAAAUGACGGUACCUGCAGAAGAAGCGACGGCUAAAUACGUG